rnacentral:rRNA from 1 species
UGCAGUCGAGCGAAUCUGAGGGAGCUUGCUCCCAAAGAUUAGCGGCGGACGGGUGAGUAACACGUGGGCAACCUGCCUGUAAGACUGGGAUAACUCCGGGAAACCGGGGCUAAUACCGGAUAAUAUCUAUUUAUACAUAUAAUUAGAUUGAAAGAUGGUUCUGCUAUCACUUACAGAUGGGCCCGCGGCGCAUUAGCUAGUUGGUGAGGUAACGGCUCACCAAGGCGACGAUGCGUAGCCGACCUGAGAGGGUGAUCGGCCACACUGGGACUGAGACACGGCCCAGACUCCUACGGGAGGCAGCAGUAGGGAAUCUUCCGCAAUGGACGAAAGUCUGACGGAGCAACGCCGCGUGAGUGAUGAAGGUUUUCGGAUCGUAAAACUCUGUUGUUAGGGAAGAACAAGUACCGGAGUAACUGCCGGUACCUUGACGGUACCUAACCAGAAAGCCACGGCUAACUACGUGCCAGCAGCCGCGGUAAUACGUAGGUGGCAAGCGUUGUCCGGAAUUAUUGGGCGUAAAGCGCGCGCAGGCGGUUCCUUAAGUCUGAUGUGAAAGCCCACGGCUCAACCGUGGAGGGUCAUUGGAAACUGGGGAACUUGAGUGCAGAAGAGGAAAGUGGAAUUCCAAGUGUAGCGGUGAAAUGCGUAGAGAUUUGGAGGAACACCAGUGGCGAAGGCGACUUUCUGGUCUGUAACUGACGCUGAGGCGCGAAAGCGUGGGGA